UACGUAGGGGGCAAGCGUUGUCCGGAUUUAUUGGGCGUAAAGAGCGUGUAGGCGGCUUUACAGGUCCGUUGUGAAAACUCGAGGCUCAACCUCGAGACGCCGGUGGAAACCGUAAGGCUAGAGUCCGGAAGAGGAGAGUGGAAUUCCUGGUGUAGCGGUGAAAUGCGCAGAUAUCGGGAGGAACACCUAUGGCGAAGGCAGCUCGCUGGGACGUUACUGACGCUGAGACGCGAAAGCGUGGGGAGCAAACAGG
rnacentral:rRNA from 1 species